AGACGUAAAUACGAACAAACAUUUCUGCCUCGUUUAGUUCGUUUUUCAAGAAAAAAAGAUAAACAGUUUAUGUUUUCAAACGAAAACAGGUUUCAGAAACAGUAACACACUAAAAUAUGUGUGUAAAAGGGUCAGCAGAAGAAAAAAAAACUUGUGACCUGUUCAGGACAAAAGGGUUACUUGGGAUUCCUCUGGCAAACAGGAAGACGAAGAAAUAAGUAAAAUAUUUUAAAAGAAGAAAUUAAGGAGAGCAAGACCCACAGACUGUGGGAAUGACGGCUGAAGAGAUCAAGAGAAAGAUGGAGAUCAGAGGUGAGCCGCUCCUGUGUUUCUGUAAACACUGCUCUCUCUCAGCACUGGGUUUAUGGAGACAGGACCAGUUAGGAGGAGGUUUGAAAAGGUCUGAAACAGCACAAGGCGCCUCUGGAACUGGCCGUGCAGCGGUACCAUCUCCCUCUAAUGUUGGCAGAGAUGAAUGUGGCUCAGCAGGAGCAGCACCCCUCUGGGUAUUUAGGGUCCACCCUGUUGUGUCCGAUGGGAAUGACAGGGCCAGAAUCCUGGUACCGACACCUGUGAUUAUUUACCGGGCACUGGGUCUCUGUGGUAACCGAGCCGUGAUGGAUUCUGA